rnacentral:rRNA from 1 species
GAGUUUGAUCCUGGCUCAGAACGAACGCUGGCGGCGCGCUUAACACAUGCAAGUCGAACGAGAAGCUGUAGCAAUACAGUUGUAAAGUGGCAAACGGGUGAGUAAUGCGUGGGUAAUCUACCCUAGGGUGGGGAAUAACUCCUCGAAAGGGGAGCUAAUGCCGACAUGUGCGCCACUCUCGCAAGGGAGUGAUGGAAAGCCGUACCGUGGGUGCGGCGCCCAAGGAUGAGCUCACGUCCUAUCAGCUUGUUGGCGGGGUAACGGCCCACCAAGGCUGCGACGGGUAGCUGGUCUGAGAGGACGACCAGCCACACUGGCACUGCGACACGGGCCAGACUCCUACGGGAGGCAGCAGUGAGGAAUAUUGCGCAAUGGACGACAGUCUGACGCAGCGACGCCGCGUGGGGGAUGAAGGCCUUCGGGUUGUAAACCCCUUUCAGGAGGGAAGAUGGGACGGGUAACCGUUCGGACGGUACCUCCAGAAGCAGCCACGGCUAACUCUGUGCCAGCAGCCGCGGUAAGACAGAGGUGGCAAGCGUUGUUCGGAUUUACUGGGCGUAAAGAGUGCGUAGGUGGUGAGGUAAGAUCUGUGGGAAAGACCUGGGCUUGACCCAGGAAGGUCGCAGAUGACUGCCUCGCUUGAGGACGGGAGAGGAGAGCGGAAUUCCCGGUGUAGCGGUGAAA